GAUCUUGGCUCAGGAUGAACGCUGGCGGCGUGCUUAACACAUGCAAGUCGAACGAUUGAAGCUGGAGCUUGCUCCGGCCGAUUUAGUGGCGGACGGGUGAGUAACGCGUGGGUAACCUGCCUCAUACAGGGGGAUAGCAGUUGGAAACGACUGGUAAAACCGCAUAAGCGCACGGUAUCGCAUGAUACAGUGUGAAAACACUCCGGUGGUAUGAGAUGGACUCGCGU
rnacentral:rRNA from 1 species